AAAAGUAUAUAUUUAAUCAAAUGAAUUAAAGAAAUUUUAUUAAAAAUUCAUAACAAAGUAGAUUAUAAGAAUUAAAAUAAAUAAAUUAAAUAUAUCUUAUAUAACUUUUAUAUUUAAUAUAAAUAAAAAUAAUAUAGUUAUAUUGUUUCAGAUACACUAAAAUAAUAAUUGUAAAACACUACUUAUCAAAAUUUAUAAAAUAUAUUGAUUUUGUAAAUUAGAUUUUGUUAAAAUAUUUUUACGCUUUUAAGACACGGGUCAAAAUCUAAUUUAGGUAAAUUGCCGUCAGGUACGUCACAUUUGAAUUGAUGAAACGGAAGAUUUAAACGGUCUCUGACAUAAACAUUAUUCUUUGGAUGAAUGAAAUUAAACUCGUGAUGUUAACUACAUCUAUUACAAUAAAAUAAACUAUUCUCACUUCUUAAGCCACCACC
rnacentral:lncRNA from 1 species